rnacentral:rRNA from 1 species
GAACUGAAGAGUUUGAUCAUGGCUCAGAUUGAACGCUGGCGGCAGGCCUAACACAUGCAAGUCGAGCGGAUGACGGGAGCUUGCUUCCUGAUUUAGCGGCGGACGGGAGAGUAAUGCCUAGGAAUCUGCCGGGUAGUGGGGGAUAACGUUCCGAAAGGAACGCUAAUACCGCAUACGUCCUACGGGAGAAAGCAGGGGACCUUCGGGCCUUGCGCACGAAGCUACGCCUAGGUCGGAUUAGCUAGUGGGUGAG